UGCAUGCUCGACAUGUUCAGGGUUGCAUGCGACAUGUUCAAGGUUGGAAUUGGUGAUAAUCAUAUGCGAUUGGUGCAGGGUACUGGUUAUUGACCUUCAGAUGGCUUUCUGAUGAGGAUGAAUGUGUCAGCAGUUUCAGAGAGAAUUCAGAGAUCAGAGGAAUUCACUCUGUUGCUUCUUCUUUUAAUGAAAGAUGAUAAAACAGCUGAAAUCUCUGUGCUGAGAGCAACUAUAAAGAGUGGCUGAGUCUUCUAUAAAAUCACUGACAUUUCAUGAUCUGUUUCUCUUACUGAUGUAUGCUCUUCUCUCAGACUCAAUUUUCACUCUCUUUUCUACUUCUCUGAUUCAUCUCUGACUCAGAAUCUCCUCUCUCAGAUUUUCAAUCUUCUACUC
rnacentral:sRNA from 1 species